AUCACCACAGGUGAAAUAUAGUUGAUCCCAAUAGGUACCUAUACAUGCGUAACUCCCGAUCUCGAUGGAGGGUCCUCAAACACUGCAUCAAAUUUGUACACAUCAUGUCUGAUGCAACAACAACAAAAAGAAUGAUGGCUAUCGAUGGUGGAAACAUUACAAGAAGUUAUUCACGGAUCACCCACCCCAAGCAGGCGGUCACAACAGGUGCCUAUACAUGCAUAACUCACGAUCACGAUGGAGGGUCCUAAAACAUUGCAUCAAAUUUAUAUGUAUCCUUUGUAAAUCAUCCAAAAAAAUAAAGAGUGAGGUCUUCGAUGAUGGCUAUAUAUGGAGAAAAUGUAAUGAUGAAGUUUUCAGUGGACCAUUCACUCUAAGACGCUUUUACAAGUGCAAAGAUCGCUCUGCUAAA